UACGGGGGGUGCGAGCGUUGUCCGGAAUCACUGGGCGUAAAGGGCGCGUAGGUGGCGUGAUAAGGGUGUGGUGAAAGCCCGGGGCUCAACCCCGGGUCUGCCAUGCCGACUGUCAGGCUAGAGUACUGUAGGGGCAGGCGGAAUUCCGGGUGUAGCGGUGGAAUGCGUAGAGAUCGGGAGGAACACCGGUGGCGAAGGCGGGUCUCUGGGCAUUUCCUGACGCUGAGGCGCGAAAGCGUGGGGAGCAAACGGG
rnacentral:rRNA from 1 species